GCAAAGACUAUGAUGGGGAGCAGUAACCCGCAAUGUGUGGCAGAGAGCCGCCGGGUGGUGCGAGGCGGUGACCGGUACGGGUGAACUCGCCCCGAAGUUGCCCGGGUUUACGCGCCGGGACGGUAUGAACCGUUAUCUCAUUAAGUGGUUAAGGUCCCGGGGCUGUGGCGCUAAAGGGAGCGUAUCCUACCAGCUCUACCAGACAGACUUUUUCAAUUAGGGUGGUAUCGCGGGAAAACCUCCCGUCCCUAGC
rnacentral:ncRNA from 1 species